UAAUAAGUGUUUUAUGGCACUUUUUAAAUCCAUAUCCACCUUGUGUGCAAUGUCAGUCGAUCUUCUUCAUGGAGAUCGACCAAACAUCAACCUUUAUUUUUUAACUCUUUGUCUGAAAAAUAUUAUGAAUAAACAAUUCAAACUA
rnacentral:misc_RNA from 1 species